rnacentral:lncRNA from 1 species
AAAACAUCUACUUAGACCUAAAAACAUUUUCUUAAAUGCCAUAUUCUGUAGAUCUCUGAGGUUUUUAAAGACCAUCUAUCUACAGUGUAUCUGAAUUGCUUGUUUCCAGCUAUUUACUCUCUGUUCAAUUUAGGAAGCAUAUUUUUGUAAUUAACUAAACUAGUAUCUAAAAUGACCAUAAGUUUAGUUGACUAACUACUAACAUGUGUUUCUUCAUUAUCCUAAACAAUUUGUAACAAAAUCUUUCAAAAGGACUAGAACAUUGCAUUUUUAAGAAUUACACAGGUGCAAUACCUUAAACAAGAAUAGAACGCAAAAUAAAUAAAAUAGAGGUCACCUUUGAAUCCAAAUGAUCCACAUGUGCAUCUUGUACUUUCUUUUCUACCAUAGCCAAUUCUCCCUCAGCCUCAGAUGAUAAUUUUCUUGGACUACUUAAUUCUUAUUACCUUGUACAGUUUGAAAUACAUUACUUAGCACUUGAGUAGUUAAUCCAGUUGUGGGUCUUAACCAAUCAAUGUCUCCCAACAAUUUUUGAAAAACAUUAAGAAUUCUUAGUUGGUCUCUCCUGAUUUGUACUUUCUGUGGUCGACUUUCCUGCAGAUUUUUCUUUUUUUUUUUUCUUUUUCUUUUUUGAUUUAUUUAUUAUUAUAUGUAAGUACACAGUAGCUGUCUUCAGACACACCAGAAGAGGGAGUCAGAUCUUGUUACGGAUGGUUGUGAGCCACCAUGUGGUUGCUGGGAUUUGAACUCUGGACCUUCGGAAGAGCAGUCGGGUGCUCUUACCCACUGAGCCAUCUCACCAGCCCCCCUGCAGAUUUUUCUUAUAUCCUAGAUAAUUAAUAGAAUCUCCUCUUUGUAUUUUUCAGGAGCAAUUUGUAAUCUCUAACAAGGCAAAAUUCUCUUUACUUCAUCAAACAUUUUUUAUUAGGUAUCUCCAUCCAUAUAAAGGUAAAUUAUUGAUUGAGGAAAUUGUUUACAGAUUAUUUCUGAUGGCUCUUGUAUUAAAUAUUGGCAUAAGGUAGGACUAUUCAACAUUCCUUGUGGCAAGACUCUCCAGUGGUAUCCUCUUAGUUGGUAUGGAGUAGUUAAAUGUAGGCUCUGUGAAAGCAGAUCUCACUCUAUCUUGUUUUUGUAAAGGGAUUGUGAAAAAAAGCAGUCUUUUAAAUCAAUCACUAUGAUAGACCAUGCCUUUGGUAACAGUGAAAGCAGUGGGAUUCCAGGCUGUAGAGAACCCAUUGACUGAAUGAUUUUAUUAUUGCUCUCAGAUUGAUCAACAUCCUCCAUUUUUUAGAUUUUUAAAAAAGAAUUAUUUUAUUAAUGUGAGUACAUUGUUGUUGUCUUUAGACACACCAGAAGAGGAUAGCAGAUCCCAUUACAGAUGGCUGUGAGCCACCAUGUGGUUGCUGGGAAUUGAACUCAGGACCUCUGGAAGAGCAGUCAGUGCUCUUAACCACUGAGCCAUCUCUCCAGUCCUCUAGAUUUCUUUUUAAUGACAAAUGAGGGAGAAUUCCAAGGGCUGUGGGUUCUUCUCUAUGUUGAGCCUUAGACUACCUGUUCUAGUGCUUGCUUUUUCUUUUGUCAUAGGCCAUUGUUCUAUCUAAGUAGUUGAUCAGUCAACCACCUAAGUGGUAAGGCCACUCGUGUUCUGUCCUCAGUGUCUCCCCCAUGUAAAAUAGGAGAGCCAGUCUCUAUUGUGUCUUAUUUAUGGACAACUUGGACAGUCCGUAACUGUUCUUGAGAACCUUUCAUAAUACCUUUAUCAGGAACAUCUUUUAUGGCUUGUCUCUGAGGUCGGAGGAAUGCUAAUUUAUAUUUACCAUUGUCACAACAAAUCUCUUCCCCAUAAAUUCAUGGCUUUAUCAGCCACAUUGGCCUUAGUUUUCCUAUUUGACCUUCAGGCCCUAUACAUUUAAGCUAUUUUACACUUUGUUUUUUUGUGGGAUGAAGUUACAACCCCUCAAAGUUGUAUACCUACCUCUUGAAGAGGCCAAUUUGGAGGCCAAGAUUUUGGUUAGAUUAUGGUUACAUCUACUCCAGUGUCUACUAGACCUUCAUUUUCAAUAUUAUUUAUAAGUAACUUUAGUUCUGGCCUCUGAUCAUCUAUAGAAGUUUGCCAAAAUACUUGUUUCUAGGUCCUUUCUGGGUUUUAUCUGUAGAAAUUGCUCUGACUUUGAUAUCUGGGUUCUUAAUGUCUAUUUUUAGAGCACUGUUGCUUAAUUGUUUUCUCUGAUGACCAAAAUGGCUGAUCUGAACUGGGGUGGGGCAUUUCCCAACAAGUGGUUAUCCUUUCUGUCUCUUGUUGAUCUACAUUCAUUAAUCCAGUGUUGGCCUUUGCUGCACCAUCUGCAUAUUCCAGAAGGCACAGGCCUGCUUUCGAAAUUAGUUCGGUUCGUUCUAGAAUUCUUUUUUAAAUGACCUUUUUCACCACAAUUAAGACAUUUGAGAGUUUGGAUUUUUCUCAAAACCUUUAGCAAUCACUUCUUUCGUUAAAGUCGUAUGAAUGAGGUCUGAUAUCAGUCAUAUUUCUAAUCCAUUCAUCAGUUGGUGCUGAUCUUACCUUUAAGGGCCUGAUCAUCCUCUUGCAUUCAGCAUUAGCAUUUUUAAAAGCUAACGAUUCGUUCACUGCUUUCCUAGCUUCGGGAUCCGACAGCUUUCUGUCCACACCUGAAGUCAGUCUUGGUAAAAGUCAGUGAAUGUUUCUUUUGGACCUUGCAUAAUCUGAGUAAAUGGUUCAAGUCUUUUUCCUGUUCCUUCAACCUAUCCUAGUCACUUAAAGUUACUGUACUGCCAAGGUGGCUUUGUCACAUAUGACUUGCAUCUGUACCUCAGCAUAAGGAUCUUUGCUGAAUAGCUGGUCUUGAGAAUUAUUGAUACCUCUAGCCCUGUUUUUCUGUUCCAUCUCCCUAGCUUCUUUUCUCCAUUGUAACUCCGUUGCAACUGCAGACCAGGUUCUAAUAUUGCUCUUGCCAUCUUUCUUGGCUUGAGGGAUUAUUCUAUUUUGAAUUGCUCUAGAUUUUAAUAUAUGCUUUAUGAAUGGUGAAUAUAUACUAUAUGAAUUUAUUGCUCCUUUAAGUAUUUUUGAAUCUAGCAUAUCUACAGGAUGCCAUCCAAAUUCUUCAUACUCUUGUAGGUUUCUAGCAUCUGCUGACAUUUGUUGUACAGUAACUAGAUAAGCUAAGAUUGGUUUUCUAACAACCUUUGGCUGACUUUCAUUAUGUGGUGGUCCAGUAGGCUCUGGCCUUAUUUCCUCUAUCUCUAGUAUCUUCCUCAAUUUUAUUUAUAAUUUUUUUUCUAAUUUUUCUUCUAAGGCCCGUCUUCAUUCAUAUUUCUCUUUUUCUUGUAUCUCUACUAUCUUCCUCAAUUUUUUUUUUUUUUUUUGAGACAGGGUUUCCCUGUGUAGUCCUGGCUAUCCUGGAACUCACUCUGUAGACCAGGCUGGCCUCGAACUCAGAAAUCCGCCUGCCUCUGCCUUCCAAGUGCUGGGAUUAAAGGCGUGUGUCACCACUGCCUCAUUUUUAUUUGUGAUUUUCUUUUCCUAAUUUGUCUUCUUAGGCUUGUUUCCAUUUUUCACAUUUCUCUUUUUCUUGUAUCUCUAAAACCCUUUUCUUUGAGAAGAUAUAAGAAGCUAUCAUGGCUAUCAAGAUUGGAAUAAUGAUUGCUAAUGUGGUAAUAUUAAUAAUUGGAAAGGUAUCAAUUUCAGUUAGGUCAUUUAUCUGUUCUCUUUCUCUCUCUCUUUUUCUAUCUUUAAGCCUUUGACAAUCUCUCAGAAUUCUAGUAUAUCUGCCAGAUGUCCCGCCUUCUAAUCCUGCUUUUGCUAGUAGGCCAUCAGACGUUUAUUGAUAGGUGAUGAUGGUUCUACACAGUACCUAAAAGAUUAUCCCUACGUAUGCAGUGCCCAGUACAGCGUAAGUGCUGUGUAAGUAUGUGUUAGGCUGUGUUGUUUAGAGAAGUAUGGCAAAAAGAAGCUUGUUCAUGUUUGGAAUGACUGGAACUUUUUCUUAGCUUAUGUUAUUCUAUGUGUACGAGUAUCUGCCUGUCUGUAUAAAUGUGCACCCUGUGUGUGCCAGGUGUCCAUAGUGGUCAGAAGAAAGAGUCAGGGCCCUAGAGCUGGACUUCUGGAUGGUUGUGAGUCUGGGUGCUGAGACUGAACCCCGGUUCUCUGCAGGAGCAGUAAAAACUGUUACGGCUAACCUGCCUUUCUAGUUCUGUGUUUUUUACCCAUGAACAUCUUUAUUUUUCUGUGCCACCUGCCCAGUUACAGCUCUCUCCUGCUUUCCUUUGUGUAUUGGCAAUAGGACUUGACUUUUAAACGGCUUAAACAUCUUUACAUAGAUUACACUGCUAUUGGUAUUACAACUUAUCAUGUAUAAAGAAUGAAUGCCUUGCUAAUAAGCUGUUGAAGAUAGGAAUAAAUGUGGAAUGAAUGAAACCAAGUAAA